rnacentral:lncRNA from 1 species
AAAAGGCUUUGCAAGUUUCGAAAAGCUUAUACAACUAUCAAGAAUCACAAGGCUGCCCAGGUUUAAGCAACAAGGGUAGUUGGAGAGAGGAGGCUGCCAUCAUCCAAAAUACAUGCAAGUUGUGCAGGGUGCUCCAGGGAUACAGAUUUUGUGAGUCACAAUGUACACUUGGGUUGGCUUUUUAUUAAUGUAGUUGUAAAUGACCCAUGAUUCUCCAAAUAUACCUCAUCUAUGUCUAUGUUCCUACAUAUGAUCCAAAUCAAGUCAUUAGCAUCUAAAUCUAGGUUUAGUGGAAUAAUUUCUUUCAUCCCUCUUCAUUGCUCUACAUGAGAUAGAUUUG